rnacentral:lncRNA from 1 species
UUUUUUUUUUUUUUUUUUUAGCCUUAGUUUCUUACUGUCCUCCUACGCAUCCACCCCCAAGAGAAAGAUGCCUGGAGCCUGUCAGACAUCACCAUGGCACCUUUUCUAAACAACUUCUCAGAGCUUCCUUCUUGCUACAUGGCAAAUACAUCACUCGGCAGCUGGUCCCUUUUCCUCACCUGCGUAACGAAACUUGUGGUUUAUUAUAAACUUGGUCCAAGGCCUAAUUUCUAUUCAUGAAAUCCUGUCAUCAUUAUAUGAAGAAAUGUACUGUUUAAGGGCCAACAUUAUAAUGAAACACUGGCCUGGCAGGUCCCAGCAGUGGGAAUUGGCAAGUAUGAGCCAUGUUGUGUGGAGUGGUGAGCGAGGAGAGUCAAGGCCUUCAGCGGCGUUGUCUCUGAGCAGGUCACUGCCUUUCAUUCUCUGUUCUCAUGCUUUUGUAUGCAUUUUUAUUAAGCAGCCUGUCUCCCUUCCCUACUUUCUUUCCCUGUCCUCUUUUUCUGUGUGCACAUUUAUCUGUAUGUGAGUGUUGGUCUAUGCGAGGGUUUGUAUGUACAUGUGGAACUGAGAAGAUAAGCCCAGGUGUCAUUGUUGGGGAGCUAGAUUAGUUAAACCUCUCUUUGCUGUGAUCAAACACCUGACAAGAAGUCACUCAAGAAUGGAAGGCUUUGUCUUGGCUCAUGGUGUUGGGGGAUAUAGUCAGUGGGAAAGGCAUGUGCGGGAUCAUGAAGCCUCAGGUCCUGUUUCUUCGUCAGUCGGCAGCCAACAGAGUGAUGGAUGCUUGAGCUCCCUUACUUAGCCUUCUCCUUUUUGUUCAGUUUUUGGCCCCUGCCUACUGAGCCACUCGUGGUUAGGAUGAGCCCUACCUUCAUUAGCUCAAUCUAGAUGCUCCUUUAUAGACACGCCCAGAAACUGGUCUCCCAGGUGACUCUACAUCCCAUCAAGUUGACAGAAGAGAUUAAUCAUCACAGGCACCUUCCAAAUUGUAUUGGGGACAGGGUCUCUCACUUACAGGCAAGGCUGGCUGCCAGUAAGCUUUCAGAAAUCUACCUAGCUCCACCUCCCCUCUUGGCAUUGCUGGGAUGAGAAGCAGGUGUCACCACAUCUGGCUUUCUGUCCUUGCGCUCUGGGAACCCAGACCCAAGGCCUCAUGUUUAUGAGGUGAGUCCUUUACUGACCUAGCUGGGACAGUUUGUCUUGGAUCAGUUCAAGUUCUCAUUUCAGAAGUUUCAAAAUGCUGCCUGUUCUGAGAACAGGGAAGAAAGUCAGCAAAACUAAGCAUCAGACACACAAUGGCUUUGUCUCUCUGCCCCCAUCACCUGGGGAUGUUCCCCACCCUACAGCUCCAAACCUAGGAGAGCUACACAGACUCCAUUGUCUCCACUUGGCCUUAUCAUCCACUUGGACUGUGUGGAUGUGACAGGAAUGGUUAACAGCAUGGGAUAAGAUUGGCACCGAAGACGUGAAAGGGUCUUUCAACCUGGAUAAACUGACUUAGUAGAGACUUGAGUUUCUCAUGGGAAAAGACAAUGAGGUGAUUCAUAUCUCCUGGAAUAUUGACAUCUUUUGAUAAUCCAGAAAGAAAAGCAAAAGGAAAGGAAACAUUCUGGGCCAGGGAAGCCCUGCUCUGAGGUGAGCUCUGCGGUGGUGGUGGCAAUGGCUCAGCCAUUGAUUUCCCAGAAUCAGGAGGUUUACAGGAUGAUGAGGCGCUGUCUCGGUCGGGAUUCUAAGUGGCUGCUUCUCAGUCAUUGAGCUUCGAGAAGCUCAGGUCUUCUCUCACCCCAAAUCAUAGUGGUCAGAACCACAAAACACUAGACCGUAACGGGAGAGGUGUGUGCCUGCACAGCACUUCUCAAAAUGUGCUCUGCCUGGCAACAAUCCCAAGACACAGUGUUGCAGCAUCAGGUAGCCAUGAGGAUUUGCCUACAGCAUAUAUUAUCGUACACACUACAAUCUUGAGCAGUUGCAAUGCAUAAUUGUACAUUGAAGGCUCCGAGACAGCUGGGCAUGGUAGUGCACACCUUCAAUCCCAGUACUCUGGAGGCAAAGGUGGGUAGAUCUCUAUGAGUUUACAGGCAGCCAAGUCUGCAUUGCGGGCUCCAGAGCAGCCAAAGCUACACAGCAAAGCUCUGUCUCAAUGAAUGAAUGAAUGAAUGAAUGAAUGGACUCUGAAUCACUGGGGACUGGGAUAACUCAGUUGUUAAAAUGCCUUUGUGCUUUGCAGGCACAAAGAACUGAGUUUGAAUCCUAGAAUUCAUAUGUAAACACUAAAUAAAAAUCUAAGCACUAGAAAGGCAGGGAUUGGCAGAUCCUGGGGCUUACUGGCCACCAGCCUUGCCUAAAUGGCAAGCUCCGGGCCAGUGAGGGAUUACGGCAAAAAUAAAUAAUGAAUGAUACUGCAGGUGUACCUCUAACCUCCACAUGCGGGUGCACAUGUGUACAUGUUUGUGCUUGUGAAACAAGGAUGAAUAGCAACAUAUCUACCAGAAAUGUUACGAAUGCGCCUUAUCACCAGUAAAUCUUUCCUGCUCCUGAGAGAUGCCCUUACCAUCUUCCCGAAGAGCCGAUAGUCACAUAUUCUGCAAGUGAGGUCUCGCAGCCAGACCACAAACAUCCAGAAGUGGGAGCCUUGGUUGGUACACAGCUCACACAGGCUGGCAGCCCUGGAACGGAGCCAUCACACCUGGUGUGGGCUAACUGUGGACUCAUUUCUAGAGGCGUAAAGGAUUCUGUUUGCCAGGACACCCACAGGAGGGUGAUAGCCAAUCAGAGACUGUCACUUUUCUUGCAAACAGUGGAUCUGAGGGAAUGUUUAUGACAUUUUCUAUUACUUCUCAACAUAUUUUAUACUAUUUUACUUAGAGUGCUUGUGUUUGUAUGAGAUGCACACGUGUGUGUUUGAUGUGUGUAUAUGGCUGUUGCUGUGUGUGCGUACUCUUGUCACACUGCAUGGGUGGAGUCAGAGGACUUUGGGUGUUAUCCUUACCUUCCACCUUGUUUUGAGAUGGGAUUCCUUUCCUGAAUACACCAGGCUAGCUGACCUCCAGCCUCCAGAGAUUGUCUGGUCCCGCCUCCUGUCUCACCUGGGAGCACUCGGAUUACAGACAUACCUCGCCCGUGACUGGCUCCCUUCUGGUCUUUGCAUUGCCACAGCUACAGCUUUGCCCACUGGGUCAUCUCUCCAGCCCCUGGUCACUUUAAAAGUGUCAUAUGUAUAUAGUUUCUACAAAGCCCAAUAAUUUUGGAGGCUACAAAUAUUCCUAAGGUAAAAAUAUGUACAAGAUACAAGUAUGCAAAACAGGGUCCCAAGCCCUGACGGCAGCCAUCGUGUGGCUGUCCUUGUGUGGCCAGGUGCUGAUGGCAUAUUUGGGGAUUUCUCCCCUCCUCGCUCCAUUCUUCCACACUGUCCUUCUCCAUUAGUUAAGCUGAUGUCAUAGGGGCCUCUCCUCAGGAUGAAGAGACACUGAAGAGCU